rnacentral:rRNA from 1 species
GACGAACGCUGGCGGCGUGCUUAACACAUGCAAGUCGAGCGGUAAGGCCCUUUCGGGGGUACACGAGCGGCGAACGGGUGAGUAACACGUUGGUGACCUGCCCUCAGCUCUGGGAUAAGCCCGGGAAACUGGGUCUAAUACCGGAUAUGACUCCAUGACGCAUGUUGUGGGGUGGAAAGCCUUGUGCGGCUGAGGAUGGGCCCGCGGCCUAUCAGCUUGUUGGUGGGGUGAUGGCCUACCAAGGCGACGACGGUAGCCGGCCUGAGAGGGCGACCGGCCACACUGGGACUGAGACACGGCCCAGACUCCUACGGGAGGCAGCAGUGGGGAAUCUUGCGCAAUGGGCGAAAGCCUGACGCAGCGACGCCGCGUGAGGGAUGACGGCCUCGGU